rnacentral:rRNA from 1 species
GUGCCAGCCGCCGCGGUAAUACGUAGGCAGCGAGCGUUGUUCGGAGUUACUGGGCGUAAAGAGUGCGUAGGCGGUUUUCUAAGUUUGGUGUGAAAUCUCCCGGCUUAACUGGGAGGGUGCGCCGAAGACUGGAAGGCUUGAGUAUGGGAGAGGUAAGCGGAAUUCCUGGUGUAGCGGUGAAAUGCGUAGAUAUCAGGAGGAACACCUNCGGNGUAGACGGNUUACUGGACCAUAACUGACGCUGAGGCACGAAAGCGUNGNUAGCAAACA